rnacentral:tRNA from 1 species
GGGGUUGUGGCUUAGCGGUAGAGUGCUCGCCUCAAACGUGAGGGACCCUGGGUUCGAUCCUCAGCACCA